UAACGAGAUUGGCUCUUGGAUGAAUGAAGGCCGUAGAUCUAGAUUAGGGAUCUUAAAAAUCAAGGGUGGAGAUGUAGCCACCCUUCUACGAGCCUCCACUCAAUUGUAUAAGAGAGGCUUGGUUUUCCAAGCCCUCUUUCUCUCCUUUUUUGGGUGAAGGGUGGAGCCAUGCCAAAAUUUGGCCAAAACCCUAAUCUUAAUUUUAUUUAGAUUUUAAUUCUCAUUGUGAACCUUGUGAUUGUGUAUGUAUGGAUUUUUCAUUGUGAAGGAUGGUCAUUAAGUUUUAAAAUAUGUUUCAUUGAGGUAGAUAUCUCCUCGGCCUUUCAAAUACCCCAAGGGUUUCAAGGGCCUCGGAUUUUCUUCAAUCAGUCACUCAAUUUCUGUUGUUUCAAUGUGAGAUUCUGAAUAAUUGUAGCUUUUGUUGUUAUCUUUCCAACAAGAUAAGACUUGCUUGAUUUGGAGUAAGAAGGAAUUUUUGGUGAAUUUUUGAGUUUGAUGGAGUCGAUUGCCUUUGUAGUUUAAAUCAAUCGAGUUUGGAAAGGCAUUUCUCAGUAUUUGGUGAUUGGAUUUAUUUGAAAUUUUGGGAGCAUCAAGCUUUAUAAGCUAAGCUCUGAAAGGCAUAAGUUUUGUUGAAUUUGAAGAUAAUCUGAAUUUUUAAUGAAUUUCUAAGAGAAGAGGGUUGGUCACCACGGCAGUUUGGAUCACUCAACUUCAAAGGAGGAAUUCUCACGACUGGAUCAUUAUACUGCAACGAGGAUUGUUGGAUUAAAAGCGUCUUCAAGUCAGCCUUGCAACAAGCCAAGAAUCAUUCAAAUUGAAGCUGAUUACAAAUUUUGACAAAUUUUGGAGUAAAAGGAAGUCGUUGCCUUCAAUCCUUACAUGUUGUCAAUGUACCUUUGCUUUCACCUCUCUCACUUUAUUUUUACUAUCGUCUUCACAGUGACUUGUAAGCUCCACAUUUCACUUUUUGGCUAAUAAAUUUUAAGUUUAACUUUUAAUCUUUAAAAUUAUCACUUUAACUUUUAACUUUAACUUUUAAACUGAACUUUUAAUUUUAACUUUUCACUUAACCUUUAAUCUUAACUUUUAACUUAAUUUUUUUACUUAAACUUUUAAUUUUAACUUUUAACUUAACCUUUUAAUCUUAAUUUUAAUUUUAAUUUUUUUAAACUUAACUUUUAACUUAGCUUUUAAUUCAAACUUAAGUUUUUAUUCUUAUGGUCAAUUAAUAGUAAUAACUUAGUUAAUUAUUUUUAUUGUGUUUGCAUAGUAAAUUUCAUUUAACAUGUUAAUUUUAUGUUGGUAACCAUUGCUUGGAAGGCCUAAAACUAAUUGAAUUUUUAAUAUAAGAUUUAAAUUAAUCUAACAAUUACACAAUUGGGAGCUCUCCAAUUCCACCUCUUGGACUUGUUGUGUGGCAUAGGUUUCAUCAAGUGGUGAAAUUUGACUUCACAUGAAACACCACACAUUUUUUUCCAAAUUCUUUUAGAUUUUAUUUAGGGUCAUUUUAAAGUAAUUGAUUCUCAAUUACUUUAAUGACCAUUCUUGUAACAUCUACCAGUUCCAAUUAUUGUUUGUUUGCUCAUCUUCAUCACAAAGAAGCUAUAAUUGUCUAAAAGUUCAACAAUUACAGGAGAAUCAUGUCACCCAUGUAUUUCAAAUCAUUCGUUCUUCUGACCGCUCAUGGCUUACCACCAAUGUCACAAAUGCUGUUAAUAUUUUUUGCUAUUUUUAUUGUUACUUCAAAAAACAAAAAAUCAACAUCAUAGAAGGAGUGGUUUGUCUUGCCACGUCAACAUCUCCAUCACACGCUGCUUACUCCAGAUUGGACUGAAUGUCCCAACACUAUGAUUCUCUCAUGAAUGAAAGAUUUAAUUAAAAAAUGGGUUAAAUUAAGUUCAUGCCGCAGUUUUUUCAGGUGAUCAUUUUUAGAAGAAACAAACAUUGUCUGUUCCAAACCAUCAAUGCUUAUGUCAACCUAACCUUCACUUCUUUGGUCAAGUUUAAGAACACCUAGCAUUGCUGAGCACAAAAAAUCGACAAAAACAUUUGUAAAAGCAAGCAUUUGUGUUUCAGAUGUGCGUCUAUGAAUUUACAAGUAAGUUAAAUUUAUUGAUGUCACAUUAACCUGCCACUGACUGUUAUGUUUUAUGUCACAGAAUUGAGGCGCUGAGGUUCAAGAGCAUUUCGAAAUAACAAUUAACCCUGAAACGAGGAAUACAAUUAAACCAAUGAAUCUCAUGUAUCCUGGUUCGAACCACACAGAAAAUUUCCAUGAACAUCUCCCUGGUU
rnacentral:lncRNA from 1 species